AUGCCCGAUCGACCCCAACUGGGCUCCACUACUGAUCGACUAGAACGAAACAACAUAAAGGACAAGAUCUUCAUCGAGCUCCUCCUGAGCUUGGUUGCGUCAUCUGCACAGUAUCAUCGGCACCUGCAAACUGGUUUUGGAAGUAUAUGUGAGUCACGGGGACUCAGCAAUCUCACACCCUCGCGAUCAAGACUAUUUAAGCUUAUAGGUAGGGUAAAAGGUACAAGGUGGAGCUGCAGCAAGCGACUAGCAUAUAUGGUGGCUAAACAUAUGCAAAUGAGAGCGAGAAGAGAAGGCAAAGCACGAUCGUGA
rnacentral:rRNA from 1 species